rnacentral:lncRNA from 1 species
GGCUGAUCCAAUUUUCUAAAGUUCUCCAAUUGGUUCACGAUCGCGUUUCCGGCCAGAAGGUCAAAUUUCCCUUGCUGUUAUUAUAUGUCUCUAUUACUUUACUAUGGCAUUUACACUUUAUAUUCAUUACCUUUUUUUCUAUCUCUUGAACCUUCCCCAUUCCAAAAUGUUCCCUGUAGAUGGCCCGUCUGACACAAAUUAGAACAACCUUGAUAGCUGUCAACUGGAGAACAAAAGGACAUUAUUGCAAACCAGCACUGGAGGCAUUGGACAACGAACAGUACAGAUCUCUAAUCCUGAGAGCAGGGAAACACAGAAGAGUUCAGCUCUCAACCCAAGAAGACUGGCUGGGCCCUGGCACCAUGCCAGCUCCUGCCUACACCUGUCAAUGGAAAGCUAAAUGCUGCCCAUGUUCCUCAACCAUCUGUCCAGGCAAAACUGCCACAUACAGUUGUGCAGGUUGUGCUCUACAUGUGUUUAGGAUAGAACCUAUGUUGAGAUCCUGUUCAAAGACCCUCCUCUGCAGCAAAUGAUCACCUGAAUCCAGAAUGUGACCAUAUCCAGUCGAUUGGGCCACCGCGCAUGGUGAGAUUGCCUAGUUUUAGCCCUUGUUGGCAUUUCUUUAGUGAAUUAUAUUUCAGUAAGAUAGUUAGCUAUCCCUUUCAACUCAGGGAUGAGCCCUAUGGUCAGCAACAGGCAGCACUGUGUGUCCCCCCAAAAAUCUUACUUUUGGGAGUAAGCCAGAUCUGGGUUUGAAUUUUGCUCUGUUAAUUGUGUAGCCCUAAGCACGCCCCUAAAUCUCUUUGAUCCUCCUUUCCCUUCUUCAUUGGAUAGUAACACUGGGAUAGUAAUAGUAUUAAAUACAGGGAUAGUCUGGUAUUAAAUAAGUUGAUGUAUGUACAUCACCAAGCACUGAUCCUGAUCAAUUUAUGUUUGUUCUUUCUUCCCAUCAACCCAACGAGCUUUGUGGUACAAGGUACCAUAGAUUAAGGUGUAACAAGGACACAAAUCAUCUACUGGCUCGACAAUUCUAUCUAGGUGUCCAUCUCACCUAGGCAUCUAUAACAUCAGGACCAAGAGUAGAAAAGAUACUUGUGCAAAACUCUCUAGUUACAUACUCUGGGUUCAGAGAAGAGAAACUUCAGUCAAAAUCAUUGCCAUUUACAUUUUUUGGUUUUGCUGCGAUUUAC